UACGUAGGCAGCGAGCGUUGUUCGGAGUUACUGGGCGUAAAGGGUGUGUAGGCGGUUCUUUAAGUUUGGUGUGAAAUCUCCCGGCUCAACCGGGAGGGUGCGCCGAAUACUGAGGGACUUGGAGUAUGGGAUGGGAAAGUGGAAUUCCUGGUGGUAGCGGUGAAAUGCGUAGAUAUCAGGAGGAACACCUGUGGUGUAGACGGCUUUCUGGACCAUAACUGACGCUGAGACACGAAAGCGUGGGUAGCAAACAGG
rnacentral:rRNA from 1 species